UAAAAUGGAGGGUGCGACACACCCAUUGAAAAUUGCGUCCAAACUUUUGGUUAAGUCUUUAUCGUUUUAUCCUUUACUCAUGCCUUUUGUAGUGUAUUUUUAAUGAAUUUUCGACCUUUAAAUCAUUAAUUUAUCACUUUAUUCAGAUCACGACACUUUAUUUAGAUCACGAAACCUCCUACAAUAUCACACACCAUAUAUUAAUGAUAAAAACAAUACAAUAUUCUCAACGAUGAAUCAAAACGCAAGCUAAGAUAAGGUACAUUUGCAAUGAGCUUCCACUUAUUAUUCUGACUCUUGACUUAAUCAAAUUAAACUUUGCAUAUUACAAACAAGUUUUUCCACUCAUAAUUACACAUUUAAAUUAUUUGGAACAAAUUAAACACAUUAGAAUCCGACGAAGCCAACUAGACACACACGUAGCUCAAGCUAGUAAAACUAGUUUUCCGGGUUGAACUCCAAAUGACUCAAUUAAGCACAAAAGUUGUUUGAAAAAUACUUUGGACAUUGCAAAUACAAACUUGGAAACUUAAAUGCUUAUUUAUAUUAAUAUUAAUACAUAAAGCAGAUGAAUUGCUCUUAAAACAAGGCGAAAUAAAAUACAAUAAUGACACUAAAGUGUAUAAAAUUACUUAGUUGGCUACUAGCCUCAUUCACUAGAGUGCAAGACUUAGCUUUGUUACCUUGAAGUUCAUUUAGAGCAUGUCCACUCAAGGGAUCUUGAAGAUUUGGUAGAUCGGGAAAGGUGGAUUUUGGAGAGCUUAGAUGAUCUAUCAUAUUGUCCAUCUUCCUUGAAAGAGAGCCUUCCAUCCCUUCCAUUCUACUUUCAAGAGAUCCCAUUCGGCUAUUCAUAUCGUGUUUCAUGCUCAUUAAGGCUGCCAUUAAAUCUGCUAUAGUUAUCUCUCCUAAAACACCUUAGUUAUUUUCUUCCGGUGCCAUUGUUCCCAUCAAAAGAAAUACCAAACAAAAACAAAGCAACUAAUAAGUUAAUAUUAGGAAAAUAACCUCGCAAGCUCUCAUCGUUUACACCUUUGAAUGUCUCUCUAUUAGCGUUGCAAGUGUUGAUAUACCGUUUGCACACCAAUGAUAUUACUCGGUACCAAUUGUGGCAUGAGGUCAGAGUAGGUUCUUGUUUGAGGACUUAAUUAAAAAAAAAUUACAUAUGGACUUGAAUCAAGAAGCUAAAACAAAUUGAACGAGAAAAGCUCACAAAGAAUGAAGACACGAAAGAAACAAACUCAAAAAGACUAAUUCACAACUAAGUAGGUGAUUAAUAGUUGUUAAUUAGCAUUAGAAUCAAUAAAACAUCCCAAAGAAUCAAAGAAAAGAAACUUAGAACCUAAAUUUGAGCUUACGGUGAUUUGUUUGGAUUGAUGACAUGGCUGCCUCAAGAAUGCUGAUUGGUGUUAAUUAAUGUUUUGGAAAUUUCUUGUCUCCAAUUUGUAUUCAAUCAAUCUUUAACUAGGAGGAGUGAUAAUCGGUUUUUGGAUGGGAAAAUACAAAUAAAUUGGACCUUUCUAUUGUUCUUUCAAGCUCAAAAGAGUUUAAAUUUGUUGUGGUCUCCCCUUGUACUCUCCCUUGUCUCUUUCUUGAGAAUAUUCCCUUUUUAUGCUUUUUAUUCUUUCUUCCUAUGGAAGGCUUGGAAUAUCCUUGAAAUAUUCUUUGAGACAAACAAGUACCAUACCUUCUUUAUCCUC
rnacentral:lncRNA from 1 species